rnacentral:rRNA from 1 species
UACGUAGGGGGCUAGCGUUGUCCGGAAUCAUUGGGCGUAAAGCGCGUGUAGGCGGUCCGGUAAGUCCGCUGUGAAAGUCGGGGGCUCAACCCUCGAAUGCCGGUGGAUACUGUCGGGCUAGAGUGCGGAAGAGGCGAGUGGAACUCCUGGUGUAGCGGUGAAAUGCGCAGAUAUCAGGAGGAACACCAAUUGCGAAGGCAGCUCGCUGGGACGUAACUGACGCUGAGACGCGAAAGCGUGGGGAGCAAACAGG